rnacentral:rRNA from 1 species
GACAGAGGUGCCGAGCGUUAGGCGGAAUCACUGGGCUUAAAGCGUGUGUAGGCGGGUGCCUAAGUACCUUGUGAAAUCCCACGACUCAACCGUGGAACUGCUGGGUAUACUGGGUGCCUUGGGUCAUCUAGGGGCUGCCGGAACAAAUGGUGGAGCGGUGAAAUGCGUAGAUAUCAUUUGGAACGCCAACGGCGAAAGCAGGCAGCUGGGGAUGCACCGACGCUGAGACACGAAAGCCAGGGGAGCGAACGGG